CCUCAGAACAGCCCAGAACUCUGGGCCCUCUGCUCCCAAAGUGAGAUGGGAUGCCACACAAGCAAGAGCACCAAGGUGGUGGGGGAAUCCCACAAACCUGGAGAACAGCCCGAGGGAGAAGAGCCAAAUCUGGAGGCUGGCGCUGAGGCAGCAGAUGGCAAGGACAUCUCAUCGAAGGAUGGGGGCCCUGCACUCAAGAGCUGAGGUGUUUUCCUCUCGAGUCGGUCCGGACCCUCUCUUCAUUCUUGGAACUGUCUUUGGCCUAUGAAACCUGAGACAAACCCAGUCCUGAGAAGCUCCGAAUACAAGGAGGAGAGAGAAAUCUCUGCCUUCAGCAGGUUCCCUCCUCAGGCUUUGCUCUUUGGAGCUAUGAGGAAUCCUAUUCUCCCUGGCUCUCUAUGGAGAGGACAAAAGAAGUCUUCAUGUGUCGUGGGACUUGUCCACAGCUUCUGCAGACGGGCAAGCCAGAAUGUUCUGUAGCCAUGUGCUACUGAGCUGUGACUGUCCGGGGACCCCCAGCUGCCUCACCUUCCGAACUCUCCUAAAUGUCCACGGGGCUGUGUGGGGGGUCGGUUUGCUCUCUUUCUCUCCUUUCUCUUCAAGAGCUGGCCCAAGAGCCAACAUCCCCAGCAGGGUCGUUUUUGUUUGGCUGGCUCCACACGGUUGGUGAUGAAUAAUUUAAUAUUUAACUGGGAGAAUUGUCUGUGAAUUAUGGGAACAAUCAGGAUCGGGCUGUGAAGAGAGUGAAUAGGAGGCAGCAGGCCUGGUCAUCCUGGAAGUGGAGCCCGGAGCACUGGUGUGAAGGACGAGGGCGCAUGUUCCUGGUUUUUAAGCCCCCAGACAAAUGCCCCUCUGCUGACACCCCUGUGUCUCCUCAUAUCAAAAGUCUGUCAAUUUGGACUCUAUAGCAUCUGAGCUAUCUGAAUCCAGCCCUCAGAAAUAUUUCGCUGUUUACUAACAUGCCUGUCAGCCUUUCUUCCUCACCCGCUCCCCCACCACCAAUCCUGCGUGUGUUUUGUUUUUAAUUCGAAAGCGUUUUAAUUGGAAAUCAAAUGGACAUGUUUGCAAAUAAAUGAUGACAGACACAUGUGAAAGACAGGCCUGCGGAUGUGAGAAGAGAGGGCCAGCCAGAAGGGGUGGGUGUAACUCUGUGGAACAGAAGUGAGAAAAGAAGCUCUAGAGUCUUCUCUUUGUGCCAGGCACCACGCUGAUGAGUUUACAGGGGUGCUUUAUGGUAACCGGCACGGAGCAGCAUAAAGUUGCUCCCAUUUUAUAGAUGAGGCAACUGAGGCACCAAGAGGUUAAGUCGCUUGCCUGAGCUUGGCCAUCUAGGACAGGGCAGAGCCCAGAGCCGAGGCCCCGCAGCGUGGCUCCCGAAUUUAUGCUGUUCAUCACUGCCGAGUCCUGUUGGAAGUGGAGGUCUACCCUGUGAAUACAUGGAGAUGCAAGUCCCAUCACGGCCUGCACCUAGCAGGGGCCACUUCUCUUUCCUCAUUUGGGUGUACCCACCUAUGAAGAAGUAGGCAACUGGUCCUCUAGGUGUCGGUGCACUGCACAUUUUGGGUGCCUUGAGGGACUGAUGGAGAGGAGGAGAUGGAUGGAAGGGUGAGGAGGGAUCGAGGGGGACAGAGAGAGAGAGAGAGGGAACAAGUGUGAGCCCGAGCUAUUGCAAAUGACCCUUCUUUUUAGCCAUAGAAACCUCAGAAACUGAACGAGAUUCUUUGGGGAUGACAAGGCAACCAGGCUAAAGAGAAGGAAGGAAGAGAAGCAAAGACAUUCAGCCUGAAAAUGCACUUCAGCCUGAAAACGGUUCCUUUUGCCUCAGCAGAGCCUGACAUUUUCCAAAGACAGUGUAGGAGAGACGGGGCCUCGUCAGCUGGCCCAAGGCCCUGCUCUGUCCCUGGGGGUGGUAAACUUUCAGUGUGCCAGGAAACAGGCCUGGGCUUGCAGCUGGGGAUCAGGAAGUUUGGGGCCUCUUUCUACAGCUUACUGGGGAUAGGCCAGACUCGGGUAACUGCUUUCAAAUUUUUUAAAAAGACAAUUCUGUUUUUCUCCCUCCUAAUGGAAAUUCAUCCUGCAAAACAGGGUUUGCCUGGGAAGAAGCUGCUUACAAUGCACCCUCAGGACUCCUGGAGAAUGUUCUCAGCUGCUGGUGAUGCUUUGAGGCUGGGUGGUGCUCAUCUCACCUGCUACUGAGAGGCGGGACUCAGAUUCUGCUUAUCAAAUCAAAUGAAGGAAGGAGGCUCCAGGGCCUUAAACAUUCAGACAGUAGGGUGGUUUGUUCUGUUUCCUUCAGGGAUGGUGCAAAAAUGCUCAUUUGAGUAAAUUCAAGAUCUCCGAGGGCUUUUAAAAAUAAGAUUCUUUUAUCCACUAUCAGCUGUGACAGGCAUCUGCAUUUUGCCAGGAAGUUCAUCUGAUAAUGGGAAAAAGUACCCAGUUUCUUUUUGAAGAUAUUCCAUUUAUUCCAUGGGGACCUGGUACCACUUAUCUGUCUCCCUCUGAGGCUCAAAUGCCUGGUGAAGUGGUCAGAAUUAUGUCCACUUAAACAUAACUUGAACCUUUUAAAAAACAGUUCUGCACAGACUCCGCACUUUUCACUUGAAAGCCAUUGCUCUGGCCCAUUUCCCAAAAUACUAGAAGAGGAGUGCUUUGUUUACUAAUCAACUUACCUAUCUACAUAUUCUUCCCCUUGUCCUUCCUUUUAUCCAUCCAUCCAUCCAUCCAUCCAUCCCACUUCACUCACUCACUCACUCACUCACUCACUCACUCUAUUCAGCUCUUUCUUGGAUUUUUCAUUUAUAUGAGGCAAUACAUUUCCCCAUUCAAACAAAUACUUAAUUGAAUUUCUACUUUUCUCUGUUAUUCAUUCAUUUCUUUCUUUAUUCAUUCAUUAAUUCAGCAGUUACUGGGUAGCUACCCUAUGUCAAACUUCUUAGCACUAAUAAAAAGUUGAUGUGCAUCUUUCUAGGAGCAUAGCCUGGAACAGGGUGGUCCAGAGAAAUCCUUCCAGCCCAGGUGAGGCCUGAGUUGAGGCUUCACAAGUAAGGAGGAAUUAGCUAGAGAAAGAAGAUGAGUGUUUCAAGAGAAGGGGAAUGUAUGACCCAAGAUAGGAAGCUGCGUGGGGCAUGAUGUGUAGUGUUGUGGGAGCCUGAAGGGCAUGCCACAUAAUAACAGGGAGGAGAAGCAUGACAAGUAAAAAGGAUCAGGUCUUGCAGGGCCUUGUAUUUUAUAUCAAGAGGCUGAGAGAUCAUCCCAAUGCUGAUGAAGAGUCCACCGAAGAAGAAUAGUGCUAGAACAUUGACUGCUUUUGACUGCUUGGAUCCUACCUUCUGGUAACAAAGCCCAUCUUCUCCCCUUGGAGGACACUUUUCUUUCCACUCACAGUUUAUAUGAUCCCAUUCUCAGGCUCCAGGCUAAGUGCUGCUUGUACCUGGUUUGUUCAAGGAAGAUCAUCCGGCCCAAACCAGUCCAGACUUUUGUUGAAGCAAUUAGUGAAGAAGUGUCCAUUUUCUUUUGGAGUUAGUAAAAUUGUAGGAUUUAAGUCUGGAAUCUCUUAGUGGCAUUCCCUACUAGGGAAGGCCUUGAGAAUGAAACCAUAGAAGAGAUUGGGACUGAGAGAAGUGGAGACCUAUUCCUGAUGAACUUGUUUGGACAACUGGAUCCAGCCAUGCUAGAAGCUAAUACUAUCCCUGGAUGAUUAACACAAGCCAAUAUAUUCUCACUUUUUUUUUUUU
rnacentral:lncRNA from 1 species